UACGUAGGGGGCGAGCGUUGUCCGGAUUUAUUGGGCGUAAAGAGCUCGUAGGCGGCUUGGCAAGUCGGGUGUGAAACCUCCAGGCUCAACCUGGAGACGCCACUCGAUACUGCCAUGGCUAGAGUCCGGUAGGGGACCACGGAAUUCCUGGUGUAGCGGUGGAAUGCGCAGAUAUCAGGAGGAACACCGAUGGCGAAGGCAGAUCUCUGGGCCGUAACUGACGCUGAGGAGCGAAAGCAUGGGGAGCGAACAGG
rnacentral:rRNA from 1 species